UGGGGAAUUUUGGACAAUGGGGGAAACCCUGAUCCAGCCAUCCCGCGUGUGCGAUGAAGGCCUUCGGGUUGUAAAGCACUUUUGGCAGGAAAGAAACGUCAUGGGUUAAUACCCCGUGAAACUGACGGUACCUGCAGAAUAAGCACCGGCUAACUACGUGCCAGCAGCCGCGGUAAUACGUAGGGUGCAAGCGUUAAUCGGAAUUACUGGGCGUAAAGCGUGCGCAGGCGGUUCGGAAAGAAAGAUGUGAAAUCCCAGAGCUCAACUUUGGAACUGCAUUUUUAACUACCGGGCUAGAGUGUGUCAGAGGGAGGUGGAAUUACGCGUGUAGCAGUGACAUGCGUAGAUAUGCGGAGGAACACCGAUGGCGAAGGCAGCCUCCUGGGAUAAAACUGACGCUCAUGCACGAAAGCGUGGGGAGCAAACAGG
rnacentral:rRNA from 1 species